AACGUAGGAAGCGAGCGUUAUCCGGAUUUACUGGGCGUAAAGGGCAGGCAGGCGGUCGGUUAAGUCCUACUUGAAAGCUCCCGGCUCAACUGGGAGAGGCGGUGGGAAACUGGCGGACUAGAGGAUGGUAGAGGAGAGUGGAAUUCCCGGUGUAGUGGUGAAAUGCGUAGAUAUCGGGAGGAACACCAGUGGCGAAAGCGGCUCUCUGGGCCUUACUGACGCUCAACUGCGAAAGCCAGGGGAGAGAACGGGG
rnacentral:rRNA from 1 species